rnacentral:rRNA from 1 species
UACGUAGGCAGCAAGCGUUGUUCGGAAUUACUGGGCGUAAAGAGUGUGUAGGCGGUGCUCUAAGUUCGGUGUGAAAUCUCCCGGCUCAACUGGGAGGUGCGCCGGAAACUGGGGUGCUGGAGCGCGGGAGAGGAAAGCGGAAUUCCUGGUGUAGCGGUGAAAUGCGUAGAUAUCAGGAGGAACAGCCGCGGUGUAGACGGCUUUCUGGACCGUAGCUGACGCUGAGACACGAAAGCGUGGGUAGCAAACAGG